CCGAGGGUGGGAACUUUGUUUUAUUGCAUAUGAACGUGAUCGUUGUAGUACGAGUGAGCUUUACCUCGACGACGAAGAAAAGCCAGUGCCGUGCUCAAACGUGAGUUUCGUUCGUUUAUCGAAGCUGAUUUAUUGGAAACUUCAAAGGAAGCUCAGCCUUAUAUGUAGAGACAAAUUCCUAUUGGUUCCACUUUGACGGUAUGGCCUCCUAAAAUGCUUGCUUUCUUUUAUAAUGUGAAUUCCUUUUCUCAAAUGUCUGACAAAUAACUCAAUCAGAUUGAACUAGAAAGUCUUUUAUAUCGGUUGAAUGAAUAUAUCAAAGCAUUGCUGUCAUGUCUGGUAGGUCCAAAGGCAUGUGCUCGGGGACAAAAUGCUACUUUGACAAUAAACAUGUAGAGUAGAUGAACCAAAGUUCUAGUAUUUGGAAUUGGGCUGUUUUGAUAUCACUUUCGAUUAAUCUGUCAAUUUAAUGAGUACGGGAAGGUUUGACUCCAUUUUACUAAUGAACCCUUUUUCCCUGUGUAUAACACUAUAGCAAUACAAUGCCAUGGGAAUCUUAAGAAAGUGCUUGUGGCCAAAUGAGUUCGUGUGUCGGCAAUUACUGCAUAGACCAUUUUUCUCUGUAAGUAUGCAUGAAAUCGACAACUCUUAAUGUCUGGUUCUAGAAAGUGAAAAUUGUUUGGACCAAGUCAUGAUGAUUGUACUGUCUUCUAGGGCCCUGAAAAUAUAGGAAGGAAGAAUUGUCGAUAGUUUUGCUAUGACCGAAGAACCCAAAUUAGCGUCUUUGACCUGAUCGAGAUGAAUGACUUGGAUAGCAAUAAGUUAGUGAAUGGGAGUAAUGAAAUUGGAGAUGGCUUAAUAUGUAUUUUGUGCCAAAAAGUCUACUAUGUCUACAACAAUUUCAUUCUUGGUUUCUUCAAAGAUUGCAUCUGCAAGCUCUAAUCCUAUAUCCGUUCUUUGUUGCUCAAAAUUACUCCAUUCCUGUGCUGAAUCAUGGAAUUCAAAGUCUAAUAGUUGCAGUAACUUUGUUUCAUCUGCGGAUAGUUUUUUCCAUAACUUUAUUUUUUCACAAAUGAGCUUUCCAAUCUCUUCAGAACCCAAAUAUUGUUUGUGAUGUCCUUGCAUCUUGUACGCAUGGGUCUUGAUGAUCUCCCUCACACAGUCGAACAGUAGCUGUCUUGUUUGCUGCAACACCUUUUUGGAUUUUAACAACUGAGAAGAACUAGAUUGGACAAGCUCUUGUAAUCUUGUGAUUCCUGUACAACUUGGAUUCUGUUGCUCUGAAUGGAUAAAAAGUUUCCAAAUAGAUCCGGAUAAAAUAGUUUCUUCUGUAAUUUUCGUUUUUGGCAAAUGAUUUUGUUUCUUGGUACUGAUGCCCUCUUGUGCUGGUUUAUCUAUCAGAAGCGGUUGACAAAGAUUUUCUGAUUAGUGAGUGAUUAGGCUAACUAUAAGAAUAGUAUAUUGCUGAUAGGAAUACAUACUGUGGUGAUGUGGAGAAGCACCAUGAAAUGGUGCCUCUGCCAGUACUGAUACUGGGCUUCGUUGCGUACUGUUGCAUCCCCAUAGAAGCUUUUUACCUGUCACAGCCUGUUAACUUGGUGAGUGACGAGUUAAUUGAAAUCAGAAAAUAAGGUAUUUGAUUAUUUCUACCUGUUUCCCAUUAUAUGGUUUCUUAGGCUGUGAAGUUUCUGCUUUAUACAAGGUAUGAUCUUCUUGCAAUGAAGUUGGAGUUUCUUCUUCAUCGCUCUCAGAACAUGAAUUGAAAAUUGUUGAGCUGCUAGCAGUGGAGAAGUUAUCUGAUUCUGCAACUUGGGUUGUGGUACGUACACCAAGAUUUCCUUCCCCAUUGUAAGGUUUUCUAAUUGCUAGUCUCAAGGUAAUAGAAGUAAGCUUAUUAUAUACACCUCUCAGUACCUUAGGACAGUGUGGAAUACUCUUUCUUUCGAUCUUGUUUGAGCCACCACUGCAUGACCUCUUUAAAGACUUGCAUGAACUGUUGUUCUUCUGAUGCCUUCUUUCUGCAAGGUAAAUCUCUAGGACAAAUGGUGCUUGUUUCUCUUUGAGAAAUUCUUCAAGUUUCAUUGGUUUUAGGCUUGUAGAAGCUGCCAUUAGAGUAGAGUGAUUGGAGGGGCUUCUUUAAAUGAAGUUGGGUUGCUAACAAUAUAAAGCAGAGUAGCAAGAGGAGAGGUGGAGUUGGUGCAGGCCUGUUAAAUGGGAGAGACAAAACACAUCUGUCAGUAUGUGACAGAACAAGGACAGAAAACAGAGAGAAGAGAUUGGGUUUUGGAGAGAAUGCAUUUCAAUCCAAACAAUCUCUAGGUUGUAUGUAUAGCUUUAACUGCUCAGAGUCCCAGGGACUGUCUGGGCAGCAUGGUGGUUACGUAUAAUAAAUGUUUUUUUUCACAAAUCGAGUCCGUUUUCUAU